rnacentral:lncRNA from 1 species
UCAACUUUUGUAUUUCUAUAUUUUGGGUAUAUUCUUUGAUUAUCAAAUUAUGUUAAAACAAAAAUGUACUUUAAUUAUAUAGCUUGUAUUUGAGAGGAGCUAACUGCUGGAGUGCAGUGGUGCCUGCCAUCUUGCCUCACUGCAACCUCUGCCCCCUGGGCUCAGGUGAUUCUCCUACCUUAGGCUCUCGAGUAGCUGGGACUACAGGCACAUGCCACCACGCCUGGUUAAUUUUUUGUAUUUUUAGUAGAGACGGGGUUUUGCUAUGUUGCCCAGGCUGGUCUGGAACUCCUGGACUCAAGCAAUUUGCCUGCCUUGGCCUCUCAAGAGUGUUGGGAUUACAGGCGUGAGCCACCACGCAUGGCCUAAAGAUUUUUAUAUACUUAACUGACAUUUAUAUGUGUUAUUUCUUGAACUAUUUAUUGUCUUUCUCCAUUUUUGGAAUGGAACUACUCUGGUUUAUUUUUAAUUUGUAAAAACUCUUUAUGUAUUAGCAUCAUCUUUUUGUCAUACAUGCUGUAUCUUUUCUCCCAUUUCUAGUUUAAUUUUUUCUGUAACCUUUUACUUUUUUUUUUUUUUUAAAUGACAGUCUCGGCCAGGUGCGGUGGCUCAUGCCUGUAACACCAGCACUUUGGGAGGCUGAGGUGGGCGGAUCACGGGGUUAAGAGAUCGAGACCAUCAUGGCCAACAUGGUGAAACCCCGUCUCUACUAAAAAUACAAAAAUUAGCUGGGCAUUGUGGCGCUUGCCUGUAGUCCCAGCUACU